rnacentral:rRNA from 1 species
GACGAACGCUGGCGGCGUGCCUAAUACAUGCAAGUAGGACGCAGUUGCGAACGGGUGAGUAACGCGUAGGUAACUACCUAUUAGAGGGGGAUAACUAUUGGAAACGAUAGCUAAUACCGCAUACUAGUAGAUGGAACUGCGUUUGAUUUGCUAGUUGGUAGGGUAAUGGCCUACCUAGGCAACGAUACAUAGCCGACCUGAGAGGGGGAUUGGCCAACAUGGGACUUAGACACGGCCCAAACUCCUACCGGAGGCAGCAGUAGGGAAUCUUCGGGAAUUGGGGGAACCCUGACCGAGCAACGCCGCGUGAGUGAAGAAGGUUUUCGGAUCGUAAAGCUCUGUUGUUAAGGAAGCGGUACUUAACCAGAAAGGGACGGCUAACUACGUGCCAGCAGCCGCGGUAAUUC